CCGGURCCGKCAUCCACACCCGGUAUUCGCAGGUGCGAUUUCGUCCCGGCCGAAAGAGCUUUACAACCCGAAGGCCUUCUUCACUCACGCGGCAUGGCUGGAUCAGGCUUGCGCCCAUUGUCCAAAAUUCCCCACUGCUGCCUCCCGUAGGAGUCUGGGCCGUGUCUCAGUCCCAGUGUGGCUGAUCAUCCUCUCAGACCAGCUACGGAUCGUCGCCUUGGUGGGCUGUUACCCCGCCAACUAGCUAAUCCGGCAUCGGCCACUCCUAUAGCGCGAGGUCUUGCGAUCCCCCGCUUUCUCCCGUAGGACGUACGCGGUAUUAGCCUCGAUUUCUCGAGGUUAUCCCCCACUACAGGAAAUGUUCCGAUGCAUUACUCACCCGUUCGCCACUCUACUCGCAGGGUUGCCCCUACUUUCGCGUUCGACUUGCAUGUGUAAGGCAUGCCGCCAGCGUUCAAUCUGAGCCAUGAUCAAACUCUAAUCGAAUUCCCGCGGCCGCCAUGGCGGCCGGGAGCAUGCGACGUCGGGGCCCAAUUCGCCCUAUAGUGAGUCGUAUUACAAUUCACUGCCCC
rnacentral:rRNA from 1 species